GCCUAAACAGCUGAAAGAGGAUAUGUGGAACGUUGUAAAGGGAAAGUAUGAUGUGGGAAUCAUGUCAAAACAUUGGACAAUAUCCUCCAUCGGAAAAAAAUGGAGGGGGUACAAGUGUGAAUUAAAAAGUGAAUAUUACUCAGUUAGGGAUACAGAUGCAGAAAGAUUGGCAAACCCACCACCUGAUGUUGAAAAGGAGCAUUGGGAAUUUUUGGUUAGGCAUUGGGGUACGCCUAUGACGAAGGUAAUCCUCCAUCUACCAAUUUUGUUUAAAGUCAAUGAGUUGAAUUUAUAGUUUACCUACUUUCAGUCAUUAUUUUAGGUGGAGUGUUAGAACGUUUACUUUUUCUCACUUUUUGUAGGAGGUCAGUAAAAAAAACAAAGAACGUCGUGGGAAGCAGACAAUGAUGUAUACUACAAGGACAAAAAGCUUUGCAUGUGUUUCUGCCGAGAUUGAGGAAGACGAAGGUAUUCAGCUUUCUCGUGCAGAUUUAUUCAAUCGCACACAUAUAAAUAAGGAUGGCAAAGCUACUGAUGCUGCUGCUUCGGAGAUGAUUGUAAGUUUUCAUGCUUCCAUUUUGCAAAAAGGGGGUCACAUGCCUUGAAGUGACCAAAUUUUAAACUCUUUGCGGUGUAUUAGGGGGUCACAUGCCUUGAAGUGACCAAUUUUUAAA